AUUGAACGCUGGCGGCAUGCCUUACACAUGCAAGUCGAACGGCAGCAUGAUCUAGCUUGCUAGAUUGAUGGCGAGUGGCGAACGGGUGAGUAAUACAUCGGAACGUGCCCUGUAGUGGGGGAUAGCUAGUCGAAAGAUUAGCUAAUACCGCAUACGACCUGAGGGUGAAAGUGGGGGACCGCAAGGCCUCAUGCUAUAGGAGCGGCCGAUGUCUGAUUAGCUAGUUGGUGGGGUAAAGGCCCACCAAGGCGACGAUCAGUAGCUGGUCUGAGAGGACGAUCAGCCACACUGGGACUGAGACACGGCCCAGACUCCUACGGGAGGCAGCAGUGGGGAAUUUUGGACAAUGGGGGCAACCCUGAUCCAGCAAUGCCGCGUGUGUGAAGAAGGCCUUCGGGUUGUAAAGCACUUUUGUCCGGAAAGAAAUCGCACUUACUAAUAUUAGGUGUGGAUGACGGUACCGGAAGAAUAAGGACCGGCUAACUACGUG
rnacentral:rRNA from 1 species